AAUGAACGUUGGCGGCAUGGAUUAGGCAUGCAAGUCGCACGAGAAGCUAAGUAGCUUGCUAUGAGGCGGACAGUGGCGUAAGGGAGAGUAACGCGUAGUUACGUGCCCUCGGGACCGGGAUAGCGUCGGGAAACUGGCAGUAAUACCGGAUAACAUCUACGGAUCAAAUGGUGUGAUUCCGCCUGAGGAUUGGACUGCGUACUAUUAGCUUGUUGGCGGGGUAACGGCCCACCAAGGCUUUGAUGGUUACCGGGUGUGAGAGCAUGGCCCGGCUCACUGGGACUGAGACACUGCCCAGACACCUACGGGUGGCUGCAGUCGAGAAUCUUCGGCAAUGGACGCAAGUCUGACCGAGCGAUGCCGCGUGCGGGAUGAAGGCCUUCGGGUUGUAAACCGCUGUCAGUUGUUAGGAAAUCCCAUGGGGUUCUCUCCAUGGGUUGACCGAUCUUCAGAGGAAGGACGGGCUAAGUUCG
rnacentral:rRNA from 1 species